rnacentral:rRNA from 1 species
AUUGAACGCUGGCGGCAGGCCUAACACAUGCAAGUCGAACGAGUGGCGGACGGGUGAGUAAUGUCUGGGAAACUGCCUGAUGGAGGGGGAUAACUACUGGAAACGGUAGCUAAUACCGCAUACCAUCAGAUGUGCCCAGAUGGGAUUAGCUAGUUGGUGGGGUAACGGCUCACCAAGGCGACGAUCCCUAGCUGGUCUGAUAGGAUGACCAGCCAAGCUGUAACUGAGACACCGUCCAAACUCCUAGUGGAGGCAGAAGUUGGGAAUAUUGCACAGUGGGCGCAAGCCUGAUGGAGCCAUGCCGCUGGUAUGAAGAAGGCCUUCGGGUUGUAAAAUACUUUCAGCGGGGAGGCGUUACCCGCAGAAGAAGCACCGGCUAACUCCGUGCCAGCAGCCGCGGUAAUAC